GACGAACGCUGGCGGCGUGCUUAACACAUGCAAGUCGAACGAAGUGGCGAACGGGUGAGUAACGCGUAAUCAACCUGCUGUUCAGGGGGGGUCAACAGUGGGAAACGACUGCUAAUACCGCAUACUGAUGGAGGGGAUUGCGUCGGAUUAGCUAGUUGGAGGGGUAACGGCCCACCAAGGCGAUGAGCAGUAGCCGGGCUGGGAGGGUGAACGGGCACAAGGGGAAUGAGGAACGGGCCAGACUCCUACGGGAGGCAGGAGGGGGGGAACUUCGGCAAUGGGCGAAAGUCUGACGGAGCAACGGCGCGUUGGUGAUGACGGCCUUCGGGUUGUAAAGCUCUGUUAAUCGGGACGCGGUACCGGAAUAGAAAGCCACGGCUAACUACGUGCCAGCAGCCGCGGUAAUAC
rnacentral:rRNA from 1 species